UGAAUAUCCUUUACAAGAACCGGAGGAUUUUAAGCUUGAGGAAGAAUAACAAGAUGAGUAGGUUUUCUAUAACGACAGAACUUAUUUUUCAAUUUAGAUCCAGACAUGCUGACGCCUGAAUUUUUGUCGAUUAUUGAAAUUUUCAUUCUAAAAAAAAUAACUAAAAUAAAAAAGAAAAAGAAAGGAAGACUAGGUUUUAAAAAAAAAAAAAAAAAAAAGGAAAAACUUCCAAUCGAGCGUGGGGCGUCAGUCUCACUAAAGACGCUGGGUUGGCUUCCGUUCCAUCGUCAUCGUCUCCGGCGACUUCUCCCUCCGAUUUGAUCGCUGCUCAAGCAUCUGCAGUAGUGAUGAGCCCAAAGUUGUUUUGGAGAAACCACAAUUGAUGAAGAUGAAGUUAGACUUCUCGCUAAGGUGAAGAUUUGUUGAUUAUGGCUUGAAGUUAAUCCCGAUUAUUUUGAAAUUUGAUCCAAAUUGAAUUGCAAGGAAACUCAGGCCGUAUUAGGAGGACUUUGCCAGGAUUGUGGGUGAUGUAAAAAGGAAAAAUAAUUUCCUACAAGACUGCUUUUUUAUAGAAGAUGAAGUCAUGUUGACAUCACAUAUGGGCUCAUAAUUUUUUUGCAUAUAAAUACUCUUGUUGAGCGCAUAGAUAGUGUGCUUAACAUGUGUGAAAAUUUGGAAAUUAUAGAUAGCCAUCAUCCAAGAAAGUGGCGGUGUAAUAAAACUCAUUUCUUGUGAUUGAUUCUUAUGGGUUUUUGUUUUUA